CCCUGCAUUCGAAAGUGAUCAUGGUCUAACUGUGACCUGGUCAUUGAUAGUGCAGGGAAAGAAACUCCUGAAAGGGUUUUCCCGUGUUUGAAGGGUCAGCAUCCGGCCCUUGCAAACCCUGUACCUUUCACACA
ensembl:snoRNA SNORA71 Small nucleolar RNA SNORA71